UUGUUACUCGAUAAACAAAUUUUAAAUAUUCGUCGAUUUCUCGUUUUCUCAUGCGAAUGCAAAGAAAACGAGGGGGAACGUUGUGAGUUGCUGCUGCGACCGCAACUCUACAUUUAAACCCGAAACUAGUCAGUAUGGCUUUCCUCCGGCAGACGGCGCUGACAUUAAAUGACAAAGAGUGUGCGCGAGAGAGACAGAAAAUCAGUCAGAACGUGUCGUCGGGCGCUGUGUUGCCACAGCAAAUUGAUUUGUUCCUUUUGGCUAUAAAAAUGAUACGAUCUGAUCCAGGUUCGGCAAACUGCCCCAUAAAAUGAAGCCAGCAGAUAAUCUUCGUGGGAUUCGCUUUCUUCUUGGUAUUUAACGGGAAUGUGUAUGGAAUGAAUCAAUAAUUAGUCUUCAUGUCGUAUAAGUUGGUUGGAUAAUUCAAUUUGUACAUUUUUAUUAUCUAGAAAUAGAUUUUUUUUGUCAGCUGCUUUCUAAAUCUAAAAUAACAGAUCACAAAAUAUUUUUCUGAAAUUUAUCUCAGCUUCGAAAGUUCGGAUGUAGUCAAGGACUGGAGAUCGACGUCAAGGGCCGGCAUGCUUAAGGAAGACGCCCUCAGCGGCGAUCGACCAGCAUCGGAGGAAGCAGAAAGGAAGUUCCUUUCUCGUUACUCCUCAUUACAGUAUUAUCUACAGAACAUAUAUAUAUUUGAUAUACUCGUAUAUACAAAUUUUUUAAAGUUUUUAAUUUUAAUUUUGAGUUUGUGCCGUCUCUUACUUAUUAAUUUAUUGAAUAUGUCACUAAAUAAAAAAGUUUUAUUUGU